ACCUGGGUGGCUCAGAGGGUUGAGCGUCUGACUGCCGUUCAGGUCGUGAUCUCCCGGUUUGUGAGUUCGAACCCCACAUCUGGCU
rnacentral:tRNA from 1 species